GAUGAACGCUGGCGGCGUGCCUAAUACAUGCAAGUCGAGCGAACAGACGAGGAGCUUGCUCCUCUGACGUUAGCGGCGGACGGGUGAGUAACACGUGGAUAACCUACCUAUAAGACUGGGAUAACUUCGGGAAACCGGAGCUAAUACCGGAUAAUAUAUUGAACCGCAUGGUUCAAUAGUGAAAGACGGUUUUGCUGUCACUUAUAGAUGGAUCCGCGCCGCAUUAGCUAGUUGGUAAGGUAACGGCUUACCAAGGCGACGAUGCGUAGCCGACCGGAGAGGGUGAUCGGCCACACUGGAACUGAGACACGGUCCAGACUCCUACGGGAGGCAGCAGUAGGGAAUCUUCGGCAAUGGGCGAAAGCCUGACGGAGCAACGCCGCGUGAGUGAUGAAGGUCUUCGGAUCGUAAAACUCUGUUAGUAGGGAAGAACAAAUGUGUAAGUAACUAUGCACGUCUUGACGGUACCUAAUCAGAAAGCAACGGCUAACUACGUG
rnacentral:rRNA from 1 species